UAGUGAGUUAUCUCAAUUGAUUGUUCA
rnacentral:piRNA from 1 species